rnacentral:rRNA from 1 species
AUAUUGGACAAUGGGCGAAAGCCUGAUCCAGCGAUGUCGCAUGAGUGAAGAAGGCCUUUGGGUUGUAAAGCUCUUUUAGUGAGGAAGAUAAUGACGGUACUCACAGAAGAAGUCCUGGCUAACUCCGUGCCAGCAGCCGCGGUAAUACGGAGAGGGCUAGCGUUAUUCGGAAUUAUUGGGCGUAAAGGGCGCGUAGGCUGAUUAAUAAGUUAAAAGUGAAAUCCCGAGGCUUAACCUUGGAAUUGCUUUUAAAACUAUUAAUCUAGAGAUUGAAAGGGGAUAGAGGAAUUCCUGAUGUAGAGGUAAAAUUCGUAAAUAUUAGGAGGAACACCAGUGGCGAAGGCAUCUAUCUGGUUCAAAUCUGACGCUGAGGCGCGAAGGCGUGGGGAGCAAACAGGAUUAGAUACCCUGGUAGUCCACGCUGUAAACGAUGAAUGUUAAAUAUGGGAAGUUUACUUUCUGUAUUACAGCUAACGCGUUAAACAUUCCGCCU